rnacentral:misc_RNA from 1 species
GAAAUGCGAUAAGUAAUGUGAAUUGCAGAAUUCAGUGAAUCAUCGAAUCUUUGAACGCACAUUGCGCCCGUCAGUAUUCUGGCGGGCAUGCCUGUUCGAGCGUCAUUUCAACCAUCAAGCCCUGCUUGUGUUGGGGUCCUGCGGCUGCCCGCAGGCCUUGAAACCCAGUGGCGGGCUCGCUAGUCACACCGAGCGCAGUAGCACAUCUCGCUCAGGGCGUGCGGCGGGUUCUUGCCGUAAAACAAACCCCCUUUUUACCAAGGUUGACCUCGGAUCAGGUAGGAAUACCCGCUGAACUUAA